GACGAACGCUGGCGGCGUGCUUAACACAUGCCAGUCGAACGGUGAACUCCGCUUGCGGGGGGAUCAGUGGCUAAGGGGUGAGUAAGAGGUGAACACCCAGCCAACCGCUCUGGGAUAGGGGGACAAAAUUGGGAAAAGACCGGUAAUUCCCCAUACACCCCAUGCUCUGCUUGGGGAAUGAUUGAUCGGCUGGGGCUGCGCGCGCGGCAUAUCAGCUGGUUGGGGGGGUAGUGGCUUAGCAAGGCGACGAGGGGAAGCCGGACUGAGAGGGUGACCGGCCACACUGGGACUGAGGCAGGGGCCAUAGUCCUACGGGAGGCAUCGGUGAGGGACAGUGCGAACUGGGCGAAAGCCGGAAGCAGCGACGCCGCGUGGGGGAUGACGGUCUUCGGGUUGUAAACCUCUUUCAGCAGAGACGGAGAGAGAGUGACGGUACCUGCAGAAGAAGCAACGGCUAACUACGUG
rnacentral:rRNA from 1 species